AUGCAGUUCUCAAACUUUAUGGUAAUCUCAUUGACUUUCAUUGUCGAUCUAAGUAAUGGAGUUUCUGUUACUCAGCGGCAGCCCGCACUCACACAAACAGAGGGAGAAGAAGUCACUUUCGCCUGCACAUACACUGGGAAUGUUUAUUACUUGUUUUGGUACCGCCAGUACCCUGGCAGACAGCCCGAGCUCGCAGUCCGGAAGUCAGAGAGCAGUGGUGCUGAGUUCAAGGCGGACUUUGCCCAGAAGCGGUUUUCUGACACAAUCCAGCAGUCAGACAAAUCAUACCAAUUGACGAUCUCGGGGCUGCUGUUGUCUGACACCGCUGUUUAUUACUGCGCAGCGAGCCUCACAGCGAUGGGAACGAGCUUAAGGCUCGUACAAUAA